UACAUAACCUCAGUGGGGUAGGAUUACCCGCUAGACUUAAGCAUAUUAAUCAGCGGAGGAAAAGAAACUAACAAGGAUUCCCCUAGUAACUGCGAGUGAAGAGGGAAUAGCUCAACGUGUGAAUCUGUCCGGGAGUAACCCCUGGUUCAGAGUUGUGCACUGUAGACGUCGGUUUCUGCGCUUGAAUUCCAGUUGUCAGUCCCAAGUCGGAUGAAACACCGCACCACAGAAGGUCAUAGCCCUGUGUCUGACUGUGCUUGAAUUUGCGCCAAUGACCGCACGUUCGUCGAGUCGCGUAGUUUUGUAAUGCUGCGCCAAUUGGGAGGUGGAACCCUUCUAAAGCUAAAUAUCAUGACGUGACCGAUAGCAAACAAGUACCGCGAGGGAAAGGUGAAAAGCAACCAUGUAGAAUGCGUUGAAACAGCAGUGAAAGUGCUACUGGGAUAAGGGCUAUUGAGUGCUAGUCUUUUGGUAGCGUGCUUUAGUGCUGCUCCAGGAGCGGCCUGCGUUGAUUGGAACUGGGAGACAUGCUCGGGGUUGAAUUCGGCCAAUGGCUUGCCACUGGUGUUGUAGCUCCCCGAAGAGUUGAGCCCAGAACCGAUCAAAGAUGCUUUACGGCGUGCAGGUCCUGCGAUCAUUAGCCGCCCGUCUUGAAACACGGACCAAGGAGUGCACCUUACAUGCGAGUCGAAGGGACUGUAAUCCCCGAGGCGUAGCGAAAGCGAAGACCGUGAAUGUCCUUGAGGCAGGCGACGGCGCCCACCGAGAGGUGAGGUAGAGCAUGCAGGGUGCGACCCGAAAGAUGGUGAACUAUGCUCGGGCAAGGUGAAGCCAGUGGAAACGCUGGUGGAGGCCGNAAGGAUUCUGACNUUCNAAUCGAUCGUGCGACCCUGGGUAUAGGGGNGAAAGA
rnacentral:rRNA from 1 species